rnacentral:rRNA from 1 species
GACGAACGCUGGCGGCGUGCCUAAUACAUGCUAGUUGAGCGCUGAAGGUUGGUACUUGUACCAACUGGAUGAGCAGCGAACGGGUGAGUAACGCGUGGGGAAUCUGCCUUUGAGCGGGGGACAACAUUUGGAAACGAAUGCUAAUACCGCAUAAAAACUUUAAACACAAGUUUUAAGUUUGAAGAUGCAAUUGCAUCACUCAAAGAUGAUCCCGCGUUGUAUUAGCUAGUUGGUGAGGUAAAGGCUCACCAAGGCGAGGAUACAUAGCCGACCUGAGAGGGUGAUCGGCCACAUUGGGACUGGGACACGGCCCAAACUCCUACGGGAGGCAGCAGUAGGGAAUCUUCGGCAAUGGACGAAAGUCUGACCGAGCAACGCCGCGUGAGUGAAGAAGGGUUUCGGAUCGUAAAACUCGGUUGGUAGAGAAGAACGUUGGUGAGAGUGGAAAGCUCAUCAAGUGACGGUAACUACCCAGAAAGGGACGGCUAACUACGUG